rnacentral:sRNA from 1 species
CAGCCGGUGCGGCUGUAUUCCAAAUAGGUUUAAGAAUCGCCGCCGGCUGUCUGGACGCGUCGGGAUAAUGGCCGAUACUUCAAGUUACUGGCGCGCGGCAUCUCCCCCCAAGUGCCCAGCCAGUCGAGGAACCGUGGAUCGUGUUCCUUUGUUUUACUCCUAAUGGUCUUGACCCGGAUUCAUCCCCCAGAACCCGG